CUUCUAAACUCUGAUUAAGUCAGGAGAGCUUCUUUUUUAUUGUCCCUUCCCACUUUUACUGGCUGUAUCCCUUAUUCCAUUUUCAUUGUCCCCUUCUGGAAAGCAGGAAAACAGUGCUUCUUUGUUGGUGCUCAGGGAGACCAGGUUUAAUUAAAGUCUGAAAAGCACAUUUGGAAAUGAGGAAUGUUAAGCCAGAAAUAAUUUGUGAAGUGUUUUACCCCAAUCUGCCUAUCACCAGUAAUUGAAAGAGAAGAAAAAAGUAAAAAAAUUAAGGUAAAGAAAUUAGGAAAAUAUGAAACCUAAGUCAGUUAUCAACCCUAAUCAGGAAGAGGAUUCACUGGACACCACUUGGUGGGAAGGAAGGAAAAGGACUGAAGAAAACAGACAGUGAGACUGAUCCAAAAACUCCCAUGUAUAUACAAACACAUGAAAAAUGUCACCAAAAUGUUCAUGGCAGUUACGUUACAGUUGCAUCAGGGAUGGGCUUUCAGGUGGAGCCCAGCAAAGAUGACUUCCACCCUACAAAGAGGUUAAGAAUCCUGUUUCAAAUGCUGGAUGGAUCCCCAUGAAUCUGUCACUUUAAGAAGGGAGAUUGCCCAGUGAAAGCAAUGGAAAGAAAAACAGUAUUAAAGAUCUACACUCUAUUUUGAAGCAGAAAGAACAAGAAAGGGAUCAAGAAAGAAAGAAGAGAGAAAGAAAGGAAGGAAAGAAGGAAGGAAGGAAGGAAGGAAGGAGGGAAGGAAGGAGGGAAGGAGGGAAGGAAGGAGGGAAGGAAGGAAGAAAGAAAAGAAAGAAAAGAAAAGAAAAGAAAAAAAGACUUCUCAAGCUCAGAAUCAGCCCUUGCUAUCAACAUCUCCUUCAAGGAUCAUUAGAGGCCCCCAGGGGCCAAAGGGGCUGGGUGGAAGGUAAUUCUGUGCACUCUUUCAUCAGCUGGCAAUUUCUAAAGCACCUGCCUAUUUUUCCAGGCUUCAAGAGUGGUCACAUCAGCCAAUCCUUUCUUGUUUUCCAUAAUCCCAUGACAAAGACCAUUGUUGACAAAGGCACAAAACAUACUGUGCCCUGCCUCCUGGGUGUUUUCUGUUUUCCGUCUCAAAAUGGGUAUUGAUGGACUGAUCCUGUGUGCCCCAAUGUUAGGUGUCAGGGAUGGGGGCAGGGGUAAGAGAGGGGAAAGGUCUUUUAGCUGCAGAAAACCUUCAUUCUUCUCUAGCAGAAGUUCCAGGCUUGACUUCCAUCAACCUUAGGGGUCUGCGUGGGGCUUAGGGAAUUCCUGAGCUUCUUGACAUCAUAUUCAAAACGGUGCAGAUAUGCAUAGGUGCUUCCAAGAGCAUGGUUUCUCUUCAUAUCUUGUUUUCUUUUCCUUUUUCUUUUUUUUCUUUUUUUCUUUUCUUUUUUUGAAACAGUCUUGCUCUGUCACCCAGGCUGGAGUGCAGUGGCCCAGCGAUCUCAGCCCACUGCAGGCUCCGCCUCCUGGGUUCAAGUGAUUACUUUGCUUCAGUCCCCUGAGUAGCUGGGAUUACAGGAGCCCACCACCAUGCCCAGCUAAUUUUUAUAUUUUCAGUAGAGACAUGGUUUCACCAUAUUGGCCAGGCUGGUCAUGAACUCCUGGCUGCAAACGAUCCACCUACCUUGACCUCCCAGUGAUGGGAUUACAGGCGUGACCCACUGCAUCUGGCCCACACAUCUUGUUUUCUUGACUGUGGUUCCACCAUAGUUCAGUCCUCCAGCUCUCAUCUCUGGCUUCACUUCUUAGAUUUAAUUUCUACUUCCUGUCUUGGGUUGGGCUGAUUUCAGGUGCUUUAGGUAAAGUUUUGCCUAGUCCAGCCAAGCCCUAUAAUCUUGGCAACCAGACACAAGACUUACUGGCUGCCUUCUAUUCCCCAAACAGCCCAGGUCCAGACAUUCAGAGUCCAGCUGUAAGACAGACGGGUUUGAACUGAUGAAGAUGUAAUGCCACCUCACCAUUCUUGUGGGCUAAGCAAUCUGCUCUUGGGAGCAUAGUGGUGGGAGUGGAACCUGAUGUGUUCAGCAGGGUUCAACAUAAACAGAACUAUCUUCCUAAAGGAACAUAUAUUGGCUCAAGCCCAUAGGAAUCCAUCCAGAUGAAUAAAUGACCAACUCAGAAUUUCAAAAGAUUAGAGUAGGAAGGGGCUUAACAAUUUUUUUUAGAAAAUUUUUUUGAGACAAGCUCUCGCUGUGUUGUCCAGGCAGGUCUUGAACUCCAGGGCCCAAGUGAUCCUCCUGCCUUGGCCUCCCAAAGUGUUGGGAUUACAGGCGUGAGCCACCGCACCCUGCCAGAAGGGGUUUUAGAGAUAACCAAAUUCUGUCUUAUCAAAGUGAGCAAUUCUUUGUUUACCUCUCAAACUUUAAUGUGCAUAUAAAUCACUGGAGGAUUCAUAUCCACACUUAAAUAACUUCUGCCUUGUCAUUUACUGGGAAGGAAACUGAGGCACAUCAGCUUCAGACCCAUAAGUUCCUCCCUGCCCAGUGCAUUUUUCCAAACACUGUCCUGCCACACAAUGGUUCAGUUAAAAUGGAAAGAAUAGAUGUGUCAUUUCGUUUUAAAAAUUGUCAGAAGGGUCUGUGUUUCAAACAUGGCCCUUAAAAAAAAAUUGCUCGGUGUGGUGGCUCACGCCUGUAGUCCUAGCACUUUGCGAGGCCGAGGUGGGUGAAUUGCCUGAGCUCAGGAGUUUGAGACCAGGCUGGGCAACAUGGCGAAACCCUGUCUACUACAACACAAAAAAUUUGCCAGGCAUGGUGGCACAUGCCUGUAAUCCCAGCUACUUAGGAGGCUGAGGCAUGGGAAUUGCUUGAACCCGGGAGGUGGAGGUUGCAGUGAGCCAAGAUCAUGCCACUGAACUCCAGCCUAGGCAACAAAGGGAGACUCCGUCUCAAAAAAAAAAAUUAUUGGCAAGUUGGGGUGACUCAUGCCUGUAAUAUCAGCACUUUGGGAGGCCAAGGUGGGCAGAUUGCUUGAACCUGGGAGGUCAAGGCUGCAGUGAGCAGAGAUCAGGGCACUGCACUCCAGCCUGGGAGACAGAGCCAGACCUAUCUCUAAAAUAAAGGGUCUCACCCAGGCUGCAGUGCAGUGAUGCAAUCAUAGCUCACUGCAACUUUCAGCUUAUGGGCUGUAGUAAUCCUCCUGCCUUAGUCUCUCCAGUAGCUGCAACUACAGGUGUGCCACCAAGCCUGACUAACUUUUAUAUUUUUGUAGAGACAAGGUCUUGCUGUGUUGCCCAGAUUGAUCUUGAAUCCCUGUUCUCAAGUGAUCCUCCUGCCCCAGCCUCCCUAAGUUCUGGGAUUACAGGCAUGAGCCACCGUGCUCAGCCUUGAACACAUUCCUAUGUGAUAUAUCAAAGUCCUAGACACUGAUAUAUUUCCUCAAGGAUUCCAGAGGGAAUAGCAAGGCCAAGAAGAAAAAUGGAUUUGAGAAGAGGUGAAGCAGGCAAGAUAUAUCUGUAGAAUACCAAUUAUAUCAGUCACCAGGCAAGUAAGAUGGUGACAUCUACAUAGGGAUUCUGAAAAAAAAUGAAGUCCAAAUUCACAUCAGGGAGGGUAUCUAUUGUUUAGACCCUUCCUUUUCAAAUUGUGGCCCACAAUCAGGAGUUUCAGAAUACUUGGGAACUCAAUAGAAAUGGAGCUUCCCAGUCUCUGUCACAGACCCACUGAAUGCGAGUCUGCACUCCAACAAGAUCCUCCAGUGACUUAGAUGCACUCUAAAGUUUGAGAGACAAAGAAUUGCCUAUGCUGGCUUUUUUCCCUGUCUAGUUUAAAUUACUUUGAAAGUUAGAUAACAGAAAUGGUAAACUAGGACAAAUGAAAUUUGUGUGGGUGCAAGGAGGGGGGUGUGUAAGGAAGACCACUAGAGGAAAUUAAAGCAAGAUCACAGCAAGAGUUUGACUUCUUGAGUCGAGUAUAUUCCUUAAACAGCUCUCUUCCUCUGGGCCUUAAUUAAUUGUUUUGCAUUAGUACACUGCAUUGUGAAGGGCCUGUGUUUGCAAUUAGGUGGCUUUCACAGAUGGGGCAGGGUGAUGAGGCGCUUGUGCCCAAGAGGCAGGAUAGUUACCUGAGCCCAAGAGUGUAUUUCUCACAUACAAGAGCUCCUCUUUUUUUUUUUUUUUUUAAAGAUCACAGUAUACCUUGUUUCCUGAUGAAAUUCCUGGCUAAGAGUUCAAAUUUUUUUAAAAAUUAUUUUAAUAAAUAAAUGUACAAAUGGGAUAUUGAACAAUAAAAGUUGAAUGUUAGCUGCCAUCAUCCAGACUGUAUUUUACAUGAGUAAUUCACACAUUUCCAGAUUCUGAGGGAGCGGAGACAAGAGUUCCUGGAUGUCCAUGGAUGUCCAUCUGUAAACCCAAGCAGUUUAAAGCUUCUAAAUCCCAAUUAGGCUGCUCGAACCAACUGAGAUGCCACAAAUGCAACCUAGUGGCUUUUCCCAUGGGAAGUCAGAGAAGUGGAAAAUAUUUCAAGCAAUUUGGGCAUGCUUGCAUAAACCUUUUGUGGAAAUUCCUGCACUAACAAUUUGCAAUUAAAGUGAAAGUGA
ensembl:lncRNA